rnacentral:lncRNA from 1 species
UGGCCUGUGGAAUUUUUUGAAGAUUACGAAAAAUAUAAAAAAACUUUAGGAGGUCAAAACUCAAACUUCAGGGGCAAAUUUGGGGAUUCUAAAAUUAUUGAACCCGCCUCUAGCAGAGAUAGAUAGAUCCAAAAAUUUGUUCUGAUUGAUUUUGAUAUAUGGAACGUCAAAAUCGGAGUUCGUAUGCGAAAGUUAUGGUUGUUUUACGAACGGACUCCGAAUUAGAGGACAAAACGGUCCGGAAGUGAGAAAAAUUUGCGGUGGUGGCUAGAAAUUUAUGGAAACGGUGGGAAAAAACACACAAACUGGACUCAAACAAGACCUAACCAGUAACAAGACCUCGACCAUGACACAAACUCAAAACUACGGAUUCUGAAACUGAAAUAUGCAAAGGCUAUAGCGUGGAUGGGUUGUACGACAUGAAAACAAUAUGGCACUAGACUUAUGAGACGAGCACAAGGACACUCGAAACUAAGGAUAGAUGUGAACCUAACGGUAUGUCUGAUGCUUUGAUUACCACUUGAGGAGAACAAGUGUGGCCCGAUCUUCCAAAAGGUUCUGGAAACUAUCGAUUUCGUGGAAACGAGACACAAAUCAAUCCAGCUUGCGAACAACACGAUUCGAAACCCUACAAUUCUUUUUAUUUUUUUUGAUAUUUUUCUUUUACUUAGGAGCACUCAAGAAGUAACCAUAGGAAAUUUGAGCUUAAACAAGUGAAAGACGUGAGCUGUGGAAACUUUUGAAAAUUGCGAAAAAUAUGAAAAAAACUUUUGGAGGUGAAAACUCAAACUUUAGAGGUGAAUUUGGGGAUUCUAAAAUUGUCAAACCCGCACACGGCGGGGAUAGACAGAUCCAAAAAUUUGGUUUAUCGAUUUUGAUAUAUGGUACGUCAAAAUCGGAGUUCGUAUGCGAAUGUUAUGUCUGUUUUACGAACGGACACCGAAUUAGAAGACAAAACGGUCCGGAAGUGGGAAAAAUUUGCGGCGGUGGCUAGAAAUUGAUGGAAACGGUGGGAAGAAACACACAAAUUAGACUCUAACAAGACCUAACCAGUAACAAGAUCUCGACCAGGACACAAACUCAACACUACGGACUCUGAAACUGAAAUAUGCAAAGGCUAUGACGCGGAUGGGUUGUAGGACAUGAAAACAAUAUAGCACUAGACUUAUGGGACGAACACAAGGACACUCGAAACUAAGGAUAGAUGUGAACCUAACGGUACGUCUGAAGCUUUGAUUACCAAUUGAGGAGAACAAGUGUGGCCCGAUCUUCCAAAAGGUCCGGGUAACUAUCGAUUUGGUGGAAACGAGACCCAAAUCAGUCCACCUUGCGAACAACACGAUUCGAAACCCUACAAUUCUUUUCAUUUUUUUUAUUUGAUAUUUUGUUUUACUUAGGAGCACCGAAGAAGUAGCCAUAGAAAAUUUGAGCUUAAACAAGUGAAAGACGUGGCCUGUGGAAUUUUUUGUAGAUUGCGAAAAAUAUGAAAAUAAACUUUAGGAGGUGAAAACUCAAAUUUAGAGGCGAAUUUGGGGAUUCUAAAUUUGUCGAGCCCGCCUACGGGGGGAUAGAUAGACCCAUAAAUUUUUUCUGAUUGAUUUUGAAAUACAUUGAUUUUGAUAUAUGGAAUAUCAAAAUCGGAGUUCGUAUGCGAAAGUUAUGGUUGUUUUACGAACGGACUCCGAAUUAGAGGACAAAACAGUCCGGAAGUGGGAAAAAGUUGCGGCGGUGGCUAUAAAUUGAUGGAAAUGGUGGGAAGAAACACAUGAAUUGGACUCUAACAAGACCUAACCAGCAACAAGAUCUCGACCAGGACACAAACUCAACACUACGGACUCUGAAACUGAAAUAUGCACAGGCUAUGGCGCGGAUGGGAUGUAGGACAUGAAAACAAUAUAGCAGUAGACUUAUGGGACGAACACAAGGACACUUGAAACUAAGGAUAGAUGUGAACCUAACGGUACGUCUGAAGCUUUGAUUAACACUUGAGGACAACAAGUGUGUCCCGAUCUUCCGAAAGGUUCUGGUAACUAUCGAUUUGGUGGAAACGAGACCCAAAUCAAUCCACCUUGCGAACAACGCGGUUUGAAACCCUGCAAUUCUUUUUAUUUUUUUGAUAUUUUUCUUUUACUUAGGAGCACUCAAGAAGUAACCACAGAAAAUUUGAGCUUAAAUAAGUGAAAGACGUGGUCUGUGGAAUUUUUUGAAGAUUGCGAAAAAUAUGAAAAUAAACUUUAAGAGGUGAAAACUCAAAAUUAGAGGCAAAUUUGGGGAUUCUAAAUUUGUCGAACCCACCAAUGGUGGGGAUAGACAGACCCAAAAAUUUUUUCUGAUUGAUUUUGAUUUAUGGAACGUCAAAAUCGGAGAUCGUAUGCGAAUGUUAUGGUUGUUUUAAGAACGGACUCAGAAUUAGAGGACAAAACAGUCCGGAAGUGGGAAAAAUUUGCGGCGGUGGCUAUAAAUUGAUGGAAACGGUGGGAAAAAACACACAAAUUGGACUCAAACAAGACCUAACCAGUAACAAGACCUCGACCAGGACACAAACUCAACACUACGGACUCUGAAACUGAAAUAUGCAAAGACUAUGGUGCGGAUGGGUUGUAGGACAUGAAAACAAUAUGGCACCAGACUUAUGGGACGAACACAAGGACACUCGAAACUAAGGGUAGAUGUGAACCUAACGUUAUCUCUGAAGCUUUGAUUACCACUUGAGGAGAAUAAGUGUGGCCUGAUCUUCCAAAAGUUUCUGGCAACUAUCGAUUUGGUGGAAAAGAGACACAAAUCAAUGCAGCUUGCGAACAACACAGUUCGAAACCUGCAAUUCUUUUUAUUUUUUUUUUGAUAUUUUUCUUUUACUUAGGAGCACUCAAGAAGUAACCACAGGAAAUUUGAGCUUGAACAAGAGAAAGACGUGGCCUGUGGAAACUUUUGAAGAUUGCGAAAAAUAUAAAGAAAACUUUAGGAGGUGAAAACUCAAACUUCAGAGGCGAAUUUGGGGAUUGUAAAUUUGUUGAACCCGCCAAUGGCGGGCAUAGACAGACAUCGAUUUUGAUAUAUGGAACGUCAAAAUCGGAGUUCGUAUGCGAAAGUUAUGGCUGUUUUACGAACGCACUCCGAAUUAGAGGACAAAACAGUCCGGAAGUGGGAAAAUUUGCGGCGGUGGCUAUAAAUUGAUGGAAACGGUGGGAAGAAACAUACAAAUUGGACUCUAACAAGACCUAACCAGUAACAAGACCUCGACCAGGACACAAACUCAACACUACGGACUCUGAAACUGAAAUAUGGAAAGGCUAUGGCGCGGAUGGGUUGUAGGACAUGAAAACAAUAUAGCACUAGACUUAUGGGACGAACACAAGGACACUCGAAACUAAGGAUAGAUGUGAACCUAACGGUACGUCUGAAGCUUUGAUUACCACUUGAGGAGAACAAGUGUGGCCCGAUCUUCCGAAAGGUUCUGGUAACUAUCGAUUUGGUAGAAACGAGACCCAAAUCAAUCCACCUUGCGAACAACAUGAUUCGAAACACUACAAUUCUUUUUAUUUUUUUUAUUUGUUAUUUUCUUUUACUUAGGAGCACCGAAGAAGUAGCCACAGGAAAUUUGAGCUUAAACAAGUGAAAGACGUGGCCUGUGGAAUUUUUUGUAGAUUGCAAAAAAUAUGAAAAUAAACUCUAGGAGGUGAAAACUCAAACUUCAGAGGCGAAUUUGGGGAUUCUAAAUUUGUCGAACCCGCCUUUGGGGGAUAGACAGACCCAAAAAAUUUUUCUAAUUGAUUUUGAUAUAUGGAACGUCAAAAUCGGAGUUCGUAUGCGAAAGUUAUGGCUGUUUUACGAACGGACCCCAAAUUAGAGGACAAAACAGUCCGGAUGUGGGAAAAAUUUGCGGCGGUGGUUAUAAAUUGAUGGAAACGGUGGGAAGAAACACACAAAUUGGACUCUAACAAGACCUAACCAGUAACAAGACCUUGACUAGGACACAAAACACUACGGACUCUGAAACUGAAAUAUGCAAAGGCUAUGGCGCGGAUGGGUUGUAGGACAUGAAAACAAUAUGGCACCAGACUUAUGGGACGAACACAAGGACACUCGAAACUAAGGGUAGAUGUGAACCUAACGGUAUGUCUGAAGCUUUGAUUACCACUUGAGGAGAAUAAGUGUGGCCCGAUCUUCCGAAAGGUUGUGGUAACUAUCGAUUUGGUGGAAAAGAGACACAAAUCAAUCGAGCUUGCGAACAACACGGUUCGAAACCUGCAAUUCUUUUUAUUUUUUUUGAUAUUUUUCUAUUACUUAGGAGCACUCAAGAAGUAACCAAAGGAAAUUUGAGCUUAAACAAGUGAAAGACGUGGCCUGUGGAAUUUUUUGAAGAUUGCGAAAAAUAUAAAAAAAACUUUAGGAGGUCAAAACUCAAACUUCAGGGGUGAAUUUGGGGAUUCUAAAAUUAUUGAACCCACCUCUAGCGGAGAUAGACAGAUCCAAAAAUUUGUUCUGAUCGAUUUUGAUAUAUGCAACGUCAAAAUCGGAGUUCGUAUGCGAAAGUUAUGGCUGUUUUACGAACGGACUCCGAAUUAGAGGACAAAACGUCCGGAAGUGGGAAAAAUUUGCGUUGGUGGCUAGAAAUUGAUGGAAACGGUAGGAAAAAACACACAAACUGGACUCAAACAAGACCUAACUAGUAACAAGACCUCGACCUGGACACAAUCUCAAAACUACGGAUUCUGAAACUGAAAUAUGCAAAGGCUAUAGCGCGGAUGGGUUGUAGGACAUGAAAACAAUAUGACACUAGACUUAUGAGACGAACACAAGGACACUCGAA